UGGAGGACUGAGAAGGUGAGCAGCGCCUGCCAUGCUGCCUCCCACCGGUAAGGACCUCCAACAGCAAAGGGCUGCCUGGCAGAGGCCGCCCCUCUGCCACCUCCGGGGGGCAGCGCUGCGCCAGCCCACAGUCU
rnacentral:snoRNA from 14 species